UUCCAUCCAAAGUUUAUCAAUACGUGGAUCGGCAGCGAACUAACUAGGAUUUUUCAUCUAGCUCAACAGAUCUAAUCCUAACAUGAAAUAUAGAUUGCAUAUGAAGGGUAAUCUGUUACAUGAAUCAUGAGAACAUACGUUGAUCAAAUCCACAGAUUUAAGAUAACACCACUAGGGGCACCAACAACCUAUCAUCUUCUAGCUGUAGUUCUAACUAAUAAGCAAGCACAACAUGCAUAUCAUCCAAAGCAAUCUUUAAACUACUACCACCGGUCAACCCCUCGAAACCCCUCCAUCUUAUACAAGCCAAACCCUGUCACGAUCCUCUCUAUCGGCGCUGGCAGUUUAAGGGCAUGAACACAGGUGAACAUGUCUAGCUAUCAUGAAGGAACAACGUACUAGAUCUAAUCACCAUGAUUACAUAAAAGCAUGCUGUUGGGGGGAAAUAUUAACGACCUCCUAAUGCCGCUUAAAGCAACAGUCAUGAAGGCCCAGGCCCACCUGCGGUAAUUACGAUUACCGCCGACCCAGUAGAGGCAGAGAACAUCCCGCUCCAUUUCGCCCAACCUAGGGCCCCGGGGCGGACAAUCCCGACCCCUCGAUGGCGGGACUCCGCCUCGCCGACCGCGGUCCCAAGGUCGGGAGCACCCGAAGACUAAAUUCCGCCUCGCCCGACCCGGAGUCCCGGGGUCGGACGCUCCGACCCCUGGAAGACUAAACUCCACCUCGCCCGACCCGGAGUCCUGGGGUCGGACGUUCCCGAACCCUAGAAGACCAAACUCCACCUCGCCCGACCGCGGUCCCAGGGUCGGGAGCGCCCGACCCCUCGCCGCAAGGUUCUGCCUCGCCCGACCCAGGGAACCAGGGUCAGGAGCGCCCGACCCCCACCACAGAAACUCCGCCUCGCCUGACCCUGGGCGCGGGGGUCGGACUCACUUGGGUCCACAAGACGGAUAUUCGCCUCGGGCGCGGGCUGGAGGAUCAGGAUAACGAUCUCGUGGGUCCCCCUAUCGACCUCGCCAUAAAUGCGCCGCGGCCCUAUCAAGCCAAAAGGGAGCGGCGUCCCCAACAUAACCGGUCACGGAUACCGGUGUGCGGCCGUGCGGUGCGAGCUGCAGUGGCCGCGGCUCCUUUUGAUUCGCCACAGGGUACUCAUGAGCUACGCCGAACGGCACAGGAGGGCGCGUCACUUGCU
rnacentral:lncRNA from 1 species